CUUUUACUUCAGGACCUCUAAUGCAGCUCUUCUUUGGAACUGAAGGGAACUGCAGGAUCCCUCUCUCCCUUCAGGGCCUCCUCAUGGCUGUCUAUGGCCUUGAUGAUACCUCUGCUGCUCUUCCAAUAAGGCUUCCCUUAAAAGUCCAUAAUGGCCAGAGAUGGCCUCAGAAGCUGAAAGGGGCUGGGGAGGUUGGUUCCAAGGUAUUACAGUGCACAUCAAAAGAAUCCAGAAAUCUCAGCACUAAGUUGGUUUACCUGGCAGUUUUCUGCCAUCGAGAUCAUGUUGGGUUUUUCCCAGGAGCUUCGAAGUUCACUUGUCCUUCAGGAAGGCGUCACUGGGCUACACUUCAAUUGUGGACCGAGCAUGGAUACUUGUCCUAGAAGAUGUCUUAACUAUGGCUGUCCCCGAGCAAAGGCCCAGCUGCUGAACCUUACAGUAGAAAAAUCUACCUUCGUUGCUAUUGUUUGGAGAAAGAUUCCUACUAUGCGUAACAGAGCAUGCCCCCCUUACACUUUUUCUCUGUGUGAGCGGAGUUGGAGCUGUGGUGGUCUGGAAAGCGAGAGUGUCUUCAUGUCAACUGUCUCGGGUGGCCAAGAUGGUCACCACACACAAGCACAGCAAAUAUUCUUUACCCUGUCUCUUUCAUGGUUUAUAAAUCUGCAUAUAUGGAUGUGAGUCAACAGAAAGAUAACUUGCCAGGUUCCCUUCAGUGCCAACAUUGGCAACAGACAGUUUAUAGUCACAUGGUUUACUUAAGGAAAGAGGUAGAUGGGAAAUGGAGAGAAGGGAGAGCUAUGUGGCUGGGGUGACACAUGCCUCAGAGGUGGAGGCAGGAGGAUUAUAAGUCGUGAGCUAAAAAAAAAAAAAGUCCUGAGCUAGCCUCAACUACAUAAAAAGAUGGUUUCUACAAAAAUCAAAUGAGUAGAUAAAUAAGCACAAUUUC
rnacentral:lncRNA from 1 species